rnacentral:rRNA from 1 species
UACGAAGGGGGCUAGCGUUGCUCGGAAUUACUGGGCGUAAAUGUCGCGUAGGCGGCCCUCUAAGUCAGACGUGAAAUCCCCCGGCUUAACCUGGGAACUGCGUCUGAUACUGGGGGGCUAGAGUAUGGGAGAGGGAUGUAGAAUUCCAGGUGUAGCGGUGAAAUGCGUAGAUAUCUGGAGGAAUACCGGUGGCGAAGGCGGCAUCCUGGACCAACACUGACGCUGAGGCGCGAAAGCUAGGGGAGCAAACGGG